rnacentral:rRNA from 1 species
UACGUAGGGGGCGAGCGUUGUCCGGAAUUAUUGGGCGUAAAGAGCGUGUAGGCGGUUCGGUAAGUCUGCCGUGAAAACCUGGGGCUCAACCCCAGGCGUGCGGUGGAAACUGACGGACUAGAGGAUGGUAGAGGGGAGUGGAAUUCCCGGUGUAGCGGUGAAAUGCGCAGAUAUCGGGAUGAACACCAGUAGCGAAGGCGGCUCCCUGGGCCAUUCCUGACGCUGAGACGCGAAAGCGUGGGGAGCAAACAGG